GAGUUUGAUCUUGGCUCAGAACGAACGCUGGCGGCGUGCCUAACACAUGCAAGUCGAGCGAGAAAGUUCCUUCGGGAAUGAGUAAAGCGGCGCACGGGUGAGUAACACGUAGGUAACCUACCCUCGAGCCCGGAAUAACCUACCGAAAGGUGGGCUAAUACCGGAUAUGACCACGGGAGCCACGGCUCCUGCGGUGAAAGAUGGCCUAAGCUUGCAAGCUAUCACUAGGGGAUGGGCCUGCGUACCAUUAGCUAGUUGGCGGGGUAAUGGCCCACCAAGGCUAUGAUGGUUAGCUGGUCUGAGAGGAUGGCCAGCCACACUGGAACUGAAACACGGUCCAGACUCCUACGGGAGGCAGCAGUGGGGGAUAUUGCGCAAUGGGCGAAAGCCUGACGCAGCGACGCCGCGUGGGUGAUGAAGGCC
rnacentral:rRNA from 1 species